rnacentral:rRNA from 1 species
GCCUACACAUGCAGUCGAGCGAUUCUCUUAGGACAAGAGCGGCGGACGGGUGAGUAACGCGUGCCUUUAAGGCCUGUACACACGGAUAACAUACCGAAAGGUAUGCUCAUACGGGAUAACAUAUUUUGAUGGCAUCAUCGAAAUAUCAAAGCUCCGGCGGUACAGGAUGGACCCGCGUCUGAUUAGCUAGUUGGUGAGGUAAUGGCUCACCAAGGCGACGAUCAGUAGCCGACCUGAGAGGGUGAUCGGCCACAUUGGAACUGAGACACGGUCCAAACUCCUGCGGGAGGCAGCAGUGGGGAAUAUUGCACAAUGGGCGAAAGCCUGAUGCAGCAACGCCGCGUGAGCGAUGAAGGCCUUCGGGUCGUAAAGCUCUGUCCUCAAGGAAGAUAAUGACGGUACUUGAGGAGGAAGCCCCGGCUAACUACGUGCCAGCAGCCGCGGUAAUACGUAGGGGGCUAGCGUUAUCCGGAAUUACUGGGCGUAAAGGGUGCGUAGGUGGUUUUUUAAGUCAGAAGUGAAAGGCUACGGCUCAACCGUAGUAAGCUUUUGAAACUGAGAAACUUGAGUGCAGGAGAGGAGAGUAGAAUUCCUAGUGUAGCGGUGAAAUGCGUAGAUAUUAGGAGGAAUACCAGUUGCGAAGGCGGCUCUCUGGACUGUAACUGACACUGAGGCACGAAAGCGUGGGGAGC